rnacentral:rRNA from 1 species
GACGAACGCUGGCGGCGUGCUUAACACAUGCAAGUCGAACGGAAAGGCCCUGCUUUUGUGGGGUGCUCGAGGGGCGAACGGGUGAGGAACACGUGAGUAACCUGCCCUUGACUUUGGGAUAACUUCAGGAAACUGGGGCUAAUACCGGAUAGGAGCUCCUGCUGCAUGGUGGGGGUUGGAAAGUUUCGGCGGUCGGGGAUGGAUGCGCGGCUUAUCAGCUUGUUGGUGGGGUAGUGGCUUACCCAGGCUUUGACGGGUAGCCGGCCUGAGAGGGUGACCGGCGACCUUGGGACUGAGAUAGGGCGCAGUCUCCAACGGGAGGCAGAAGUGGGGAAUAUGGCCCAAUGAGAGGGAGCCUGAUGCAGAAACGCCGCGGGCGGGAUGCCGGUCUUUUGGUUAUAAACCGCUUUCGCCUGUGACGAAGCGUGAGUGACGGUACUGGGUAAAGAAGCACCGGCUAACUACGUG